CCUACGGGUGGCAGCAGUGAGGAAUAUUGGUCAAUGGACGCAAGUCUGAACCAGCCAUGCCGCGUGCAGGAAGACGGCUCUAUGAGUUGUAAACUUCUUUUGUACGAGGGUAAACGCAGAUACGCGUAUCUGUCUGAAAGUAUCGUACGAAUAAGGAUCGGCUAACUCCGUGCCAGCAGCCGCGGUAAUACGGAGGAUUCAAGCGUUAUCCGGAUUUAUUGGGUUUAAAGGGUGCGUAGGCGGUCGGAUAAGUUAGUGGUGAAAUCCCGAGGCUCAACCUCGGAAUUGCCUCUGAUACUGUGCGGCUAGAGAGUAGUUGAGGUAGGCGGAAUGUAUGGUGUAGCGGUGAAAUGCUUAGAGAUCAUACGGAACACCGAUUGCGAAGGCAGCUUACCAAGCUACUUCUGACGUUGAGGCACGAAAGCGUGGGGAGCAAACAGGAUUAGAUACCCUAGUAGUC
rnacentral:rRNA from 1 species